AAAGAAGCAGAGGGGGCUUAGUGGUGGGGUGACUGCGUACCUUUUGUAUAAUGGGUCAGCGACUUAUAUUCUGUAGCAAGGUUAACCGUAUAGGGGAGCCGGAGGGAAACCGAGUCUUAAUUGGGCGUUAAGUUGCAGGGUAUAGACCCGAAACCCGGUGAUCUAGCCAUGGGCAGGUUGAAGGUUGGGUAACACUAACUGGAGGACCGAACCGACUAAUGUUGAAAAAUUAGCGGAUGACCUGUGGCUGGGGGUGAAAGGCCAAUCAAACCGGGAGAUAGCUGGUUCUCCCCGAAAGCUAUUUAGGUAGCGCCUCGUGAAUUCAUCUCCGGGGGUAGAGCACUGUUUCGGCUAGGGGGCCAUCCCGGCUUACCAACCCGAUGCAAACUGCGAAUACCGGAGAAUGUUAUCACGGGAGACACACGGCGGGUGCUAACGUCCGUCGUGAAGAGGGAAACAACCCAGACCGCCAGCUAAGGUCCCAAAGUCAUGGUUAAGUGGGAAACGAUGUGGGAAGGCCCAGACAGCCAGGAUGUUGGCUUAGAAGCAGCCAUCAUUUAAAGAAAGCGUAAUAGCUCACUGGUCGAGUCGGCCUGCGCGGAAGAUGUAACGGGGCUAAACCAUGCACCGAAGCUGCGGCAGCGACGCUGAUGCGUUGUUGGGUAGGGGAGCGUUCUGUAAGCCUGCGAAGGUGGCCUGUGAGGGUUGCUGGAGGUAUCAGAAGUGCGAAUGCUGACAUAAGUAACGAUAAAGCGGGUGAAAAGCCCGCUCGCCGGAAGACCAAGGGUUCCUGUCCAACGUUAAUCGGGGCAGGGUGAGUCGACCCCUAAGGCGAGGCCGAAAGGCGUAGUCGAUGGGAAACGGGUUAAUAUUCCCGUACUUGGUGUUACUGCGAAGGGGGGACGGAGAAGGCUAUGUUGGCCGGGCGACGGUUGUCCCGGUUUAAGCGUGUAGGUGUGUGUUCCAGGUAAAUCCGGUU
rnacentral:rRNA from 1 species